rnacentral:rRNA from 1 species
GGGUUGUGAGGUUAAGCGACUAAGCGUACACGGUGGAUGCCCUGGCAGUCAGAGGCGAUGAAGGACGUGCUAAUCUGCGAAAAGCGUCGGUAAGGUGAUAUGAACCGUUAUAACCGGCGAUGUCCGAAUGGGGAAACCCAGUGUGUUUCGACACACUAUCAUUAACUGAAUCCAUAGGUUAAUGAGGCGAACCGGGGGAACUGAAACAUCUAAGUACCCCGAGGAAAAGAAAUCAACCGAGAUUCCCCCAGUAGCGGCGAGCGAACGGGGAGGAGCCCAGAGCCUGAAUCAGUGUGUGUGUUAGUGGAAGCGUCUGGAAAGGCGCGCGAUACAGGGUGACAGCCCCGUACACAAAAAUGCACAUGCUGUGAGCUCGAUGAGUAGGGCGGGACACGUGGUAUCCUGUCUGAAUAUGGGGGGACCAUCCUCCAAGGCUAAAUACUCCUGACUGACCGAUAGUGAACCAGUACCGUGAGGGAAAGGCGAAAAGAACCCCGGCGAGGGGAGUGAAAAAGAACCUGAAAGCGUGUACGUACAAGCAGUGGGAGCCUCUUUAUGGGGUGACUGCGUACCUUUUGUAUAAUGGGUCAGCGACUUAUAUUCUGUAGCAAGGUUAACCGAAUAGGGGAGCCGGAGGGAAACCGAGUCUUAACUGGGCGUUAAGUUGCAGGGUAUAGACCCGAAACCCGGUGAUCUAGCCAUGGGCAGGUUGAAGGUUGGGUAACACUAACUGGAGGACCGAACCGACUAAUGUUGAAAAAUUAGCGGAUGACUUGUGGCUGGGGGUGAAAGGCCAAUCAAACCGGGAGAUAGCUGGUUCUCCCCGAAAGCUAUUUAGGUAGCGCCUCGUGAAUUCAUCUCCGGGGGUAGAGCACUGUUUCGGCAAGGGGGUCAUCCCGACUUACCAACCCGAUGCAAACUGCGAAUACCGGAGAAUGUUAUCACGGGAGACACACGGCGGGUGCUAACGUCCGUCGUGAAGAGGGAAACAACCCAGACCGCCAGCUAAGGUCCCAAAGUCAUGGUUAAGUGGGAAACGAUGUGGGAAGGCCCAGACAGCCAGGAUGUUGGCUUAGAAGCAGCCAUCAUUUAAAGAAAGCGUAAUAGCUCACUGGUCGAGUCGGCCUGCGCGGAAGAUGUAACGGGGCUAAACCAUGCACCGAAGCUGCGGCAGCGACGCUGAUGCGUUGUUGGGUAGGGGAGCGUUCUGUAAGUCUGUGAAGGUGUGCUGUGAGGCAUGCUGGAGAUAUCAGAAGUGCGAAUGCUGACAUAAGUAACGAUAAAGCGGGUGAAAAGCCCGCUCGCCGGAAGACCAAGGGUUCCUGUCCAACGUUAAUCGGGGCAGGGUGAGUCGACCCCUAAGGCGAGGCCGAAAGGCGUAGUCGAUGGGAAACAGGUUAAUAUUCCUGUACUUGGUGUUACUGCGAAGGGGGGACGGAGAAGGCUAUGUUGGCCGGGCGACGGUUGUCCCGGUUUAAGCGUGUAGGCUGGUUUUCCAGGCAAAUCCGGAGAAUCAAGGCUGAGGCGUGAUGACGAGGCACUACGGUGCUGAAGCAACAAAUGCCCUGCUUCCAGGAAAAGCCUCUAAGCAUCAGGUAACAUCAAAUCGUACCCCAAACCGACACAGGUGGUCAGGUAGAGAAUACCAAGGCGCUUGAGAGAACUCGGGUGAAGGAACUAGGCAAAAUGGUGCCGUAACUUCGGGAGAAGGCACGCUGAUAUGUAGGUGAAGCGACUUGCUCGUGGAGCUGAAAUCAGUCGAAGAUACCAGCUGGCUGCAACUGUUUAUUAAAAACACAGCACUGUGCAAACACGAAAGUGGACGUAUACGGUGUGACGCCUGCCCGGUGCCGGAAGGUUAAUUGAUGGGGUCAGCGCAAGCGAAGCUCUUGAUCGAAGCCCCGGUAAACGGCGGCCGUAACUAUAACGGUCCUAAGGUAGCGAAAUUCCUUGUCGGGUAAGUUCCGACCUGCACGAAUGGCGUAAUGAUGGCCAGGCUGUCUCCACCCGAGACUCAGUGAAAUUGAACUCGCUGUGAAGAUGCAGUGUACCCGCGGCAAGACGGAAAGACCCCGUGAACCUUUACUAUAGCUUGACACUGAACACUGGUCCUUGAUGUGUAGGAUAGGUGGGAGGCUUUGAAGUGUGGACGCCAGUCUGCAUGGAGCCGUCCUUGAAAUACCACCCUUUAAUGGCUGGUGUUCUAACGUUGGCCCCUUAUCGGGGUUGCGGACAGUGUCUGGUGGGUAGUUUGACUGGGGCGGUCUCCUCCUAAAGAGUAACGGAGGAGCACGAAGGUUGGCUAAUCCUGGUCGGACAUCAGGAGGUUAGUGCAAUGGCAUAAGCCAGCUUGACUGCGAGCGUGACGGCGCGAGCAGGUGCGAAAGCAGGUCAUAGUGAUCCGGUGGUUCUGAAUGGAAGGGCCAUCGCUCAACGGAUAAAAGGUACUCCGGGGAUAACAGGCUGAUACCGCCCAAGAGUUCAUAUCGACGGCGGUGUUUGGCACCUCGAUGUCGGCUCAUCACAUCCUGGGGCUGAAGUAGGUCCCAAGGGUAUGGCUGUUCGCCAUUUAAAGUGGUACGCGAGCUGGGUUUAGAACGUCGUGAGACAGUUCGGUCCCUAUCUGCCGUGGGCGCUGGAGAACUGAGGGGGGCUGCUCCUAGUACGAGAGGACCGGAGUGGACGCAUCACUGGUGUUCGGGUUGUCAUGCCAAUGGCACUGCCCGGUAGCUAAAUGCGGAAGAGAUAAGUGCUGAAAGCAUCUAAGCACGAAACUUGCCCCGAGAUGAGUUCUCCCUGAGACUUAGAGUCUCCUGAAGGAACGUUGAAGACGACGACGUUGAUAGGCCGGGUGUGUAAGCGCAGCGAUGCGUUGAGCUAACCGGUACUAAUGAACCGUGAGGCUUAACCUUACAACGCCGAAGGUGUUU